UUAGUGUGGAUUUAUAUUAUUUCAUGGGUGUUUGAUAUCAUGGCUACUUAAUCCUAUAUUAUGUUUGAUAUUCAUAGGAUUAUGUUGGAUUAUAUUAUCUAAUACCAAAACUAUCCUCACAUAAUUUUAAAAAUAUCAUGUGUGUCCACCAUUACUUGGGCAUUUGCAUCGAUAUGCGUGAGGAAGGGUAGCAGAAUUUUUAUCCAACUUCUCAGUAUUAAAUUUAUCCGAUGGGGGGUGGGCGGAUUAUUAGUAUGGGUUAAUCCCACAAAAUAGCAUGGAGAAGUAGGAUUAAGUAGGAGUUGAC
rnacentral:lncRNA from 1 species